AUUGAACGCUGGCGGCAUGCCUUACACAUGCAAGUCGAACGGCAGCACGGGAGCAAUCCUGGUGGCGAGUGGCGAACGGGUGAGUAAUAUAUCGGAACGUGCCCAGUCGUGGGGGAUAACGUAGCGAAAGCUACGCUAAUACCGCAUACGAUCUAUGGAUGAAAGCGGGGGAUCGCAAGACCUCGCGCGAUUGGAGCGGCCGAUAUCAGAUUAGGUAGUUGGUGAGGUAAAGGCUCACCAAGUCGACGAUCUGUGGCUGGUCUGAGAGGACGACCAGCCACACUGGGACUGAGACACGGCCCAGACUCCUACGGGAGGCAGCAGUGGGGGAAUUUUUGGGACAAUGGGCGCAAGCCUGAUCCAGCAAUGCCGCGUGAGUGAUGAAGGCC
rnacentral:rRNA from 1 species